AUUUUAUGUCUUUUUGCUUCUCGCUGCACCCUCACUCCAGGGAGACUCAGUGCAUGAGGAGGAAUGAUUUUAAGAAAGAGAGCUUCGCCCCAGUGUCCACUGACAGAGGAAUGGAUAAAGAAGAUGUGGUACAUGUAUGCAAUGGAAUACUACUCAGCCAUAAAAAAGAAUGACAUCAUGCCAUUUGCAGCCACAUGGAUGGACCUAGGGAUUAUCGACACUAUGUGAAGUAAGUCAGAUAGAAAUACAACCAUCAUAUGAUAUCACUUAUAUGUGGAACCCAAAAAAAGAUACAAACGAACUUAUUUACAACACAGAGAUACACCCACAGACAUGGAAAACAAACUUAGGGGACAAGGGGAGAUGAAUUAGGGGUUUGGGAUGAGCAGAUACACACUACUGUACAUAAAAUAGAUAGGUAAGAAGGACUGCCUGUACGGCACAGGGAAACCCACUCAACAGCUUGUCAUAAUCUAUAUGGGGAAAGAAUCUUGAAAAAGAGUGGGUAUAUACCUAUGUAUAACCAAAUCACUUUGCUGUACACCUGACACAUUGUGCGUCACCUCUACUCCAGUAAGAAAAGAAAUAGUGCUUCAGAGCAGUAAGAAAAAUUACUGGAAUAAUCAGACUACGAGAAGACUUUUAACCAGAGCCCUAGAAUAAUUUUAAAAUAUAAAAAAGGUAUUCAUGGUAAAAACGUCAGCGGUUCAAGGACAUGUGACAAAUGGUGAAUCAGAUUAGGAAUCACAGAAAAUGCACGAAAUAACCACAGACAGGAAAUGGUAUGUUUUGGCUCGUCGUGUUGACAAAUUAAAAAACUUUUUGAACAAAAUUACCAGUUAUUGAUUAACUAUAUGGGAAAAUGGGGAUGUGCUCUAAAUUUUGUCCUAAAAGUGACUAGAUUUGUUUCGCAAGGUAAUUAGAACAACUCAUAACACUGGCAGUAUUCCAAUAUAGUUAUAUACAUAAAUAUUACUAUCAUCAAUAUUAUAUAUAUUAAUAUAAUCAUUUGAAUACUUAUAAUGUGCAUGCAUUAUAUUCAUGGCAUCUUUCAUCAAAUCCUAUACCAGAACCCAGAAAUUUAUGUUGGCAUGUUACUAAAUCUAUAAAACUUUUUUUUUGUCUUUUUAGGGCCACACUUGUGGCAUAUGGAAGUUCCCAGGCUAGGGGUCGAUGCCAGCCUGCAGGACAGCCACAGACACUCAGGAUCUGAGCCACAUCUGCAACCUACACCACAGCUCAUGGCAACGCCGGAUCCUUAACCCACUGAGUGAGACCAGGGAUCAAACCUGUGUCCUCAUGGAGACUAACUAUGUUCCUUACCGCUGAGCCACGAUGGGACCUCCCAUACAACUUUUUUGUUUAUAACUUUUGAGUCUUGUGUCAAGCUUGAAAAUCCUAGAAGCUCCAAUCCCCACUGCUGAUGGGAAGAAGAGAGACAUAGUUCUGCAAUGUUCCCCCGGCAUAUAGGUGUCAGACUGUGUGUCCAGCGGGAUCAUUCGCUUAUUUAAGUGACGAGCAGGAAGUCCAUUGGUCUUAGAAUAAACUCUUGACUUUCAUAAAUGAAUAAAUAUCC
rnacentral:lncRNA from 1 species